rnacentral:lncRNA from 1 species
ACAAGUAGAUAAAGAUGUGUUAUGUUUAGUUAACGGGACAUGCACAAAAGGAUUGCCUAUCACACACGCUAGGCAAAAAGUCUCGUAGAAACAGAUGUCUGUGGCUAGAAGAAAAUAAGGGAGAGAAUAAGAGAGCACGUCACCAAUUGACUUGAAAGCCCAGAGGGCGUUAUUGUGUGGGAAAACAUGGAUAUUGACUGCAAAGUGAUUCAGAAGACUUACACUGAAUGUGAAAAAGCUUGGCAGAACAACCUAGCCAAUUUAUUUUGCUGUUUUCCUUUUUAGAUCUGUAUAAGAGUGAUAUAUGUGAUAGAUGUUUAAAUUAAUCUAAAAGGGCUCUUUCAAUAAGGAAACUAAUUGAGAGAAGUAUUGUGUCAUAUUUUAAUUAGGAACAUUCUUUUUCCUUAACGAUAUGUCAAAUGAUGACGUAUCUUACAACGAAAGGCAUCUCAGAUUUAAAGAAAUACAAGUUUCACACACUUGACCACAAUUGCCUUUUCUCUCAGAGUUUAAAUUUCAAUAAUCAUUGUUUCACUCUGAUAAUUCCUAACAUUAAGGUGUUUUACAUAAAAAAUAAAGUUUUGAAUUUGUUGAUUCUGCUUUUUAAGUUCUACAUUUUUUUAGGUCUGCCAACUCCAUGCCAUUCAUCUCCUAAUAAGAAAAAAACCAGUUCAUCUGCUCUAGCCACCAUACUUUAGAAUUUAGAAAGUUAAAUAAUAGAGAAAAUAUCAGGAGAGAGAUGGAAAUGAGGCAGAAAGAGUUAGGUCCAGACUCUGACAGCUGUUACUUCCCCUUUUCCUGUUUCAAGCAAUGGCAACCGCAAAACAUUUAAAAAACCUAGUAGCUGCUUUCACAAUGUUAUUGUAUUUAAUCCUGAGAAACCGGUCAAAGAGGCAUUAUUCUCUCUUUUCGACAAAUGAAGAGAGUGAGGUGAGAGAAAUUAAAUAACUCACCCAAGAAGAACAGGGUCAUCCAUGCUGGGACCUGGAAGGAGACAUCACCGCAGCCCCACUGAGCCAGCCUCUUUGGAAGCGCAGCUCCGCCACGUGCAUUGCAACACACAGCUGGGGGCAGAUUGUCGGAAAGUCAUUCUUCAGAAUAAUCCAUGCACUGUCUUCCAUGGACCUGAAGGUCUUCAGCUGAGAUCACCCUUGCCCAUCCGGGCCCCUGAGUGAGUCCUGCAAGGUCCCACUUGUCCAGGACGGAGGUUCAGAUCCUCAUUUAAGGAGAUUCCUGAUGCACUGAUGAGUCUGGGCUUUAUUCUGGAAUGGUCAUUAUAGUCUAACACAAAUAUGUCUGUGAACGGUAGCAAUAACGGGAAAUCUUCGCAGGGGACAGGCCCCCAGGACAUAGUUGCAUAUUUUUAGUUGUGGGUCCUUCUAGUUGUGGCAUGUGGGAGGCCGCCUCAGCAUGGCUUGAUGAGCGGUGCCAUGUCCGUGUCCAGGAUUCGAACUGGUGAAACCUGGGCCGCCGAAGCGGAGCGUGCGAACUUAACCACUUGGCCACAGGGCUGGCCCUCUCAUACAGUGGCAUGUCAUGAAGACCACAUGUCGUGUGAUGUCACAAUAGGUUGCAUGUAGAAGCAGGUAUGAGAAUCCAGCUGUCUUCUAUCAAGCCAGACGUUAAAUAGACUUUCAAAAGUGUAAAACAAU